GGGAUGGUGGCUUAGUGGUAGAGUGCUUGCCUUGCAUGCAUGUUGCCAAGGUUCGAUUCCUCUGCACCA
rnacentral:tRNA from 1 species